GGUUUCUAAUCCACCACCCAGAAAGAGCCCAAUCUCAUCUGAUCUUGGAAGCCAAGUGGGGCUGGUUAGUACCUGGAUGGGAGACUGCCUGGGAAUGUGAGGAGUCA
rnacentral:rRNA from 1 species